GUGCACACUUUGGUAGCACAUAUACUAAAAUUGGAACAGUAUAGAGAUUAGCAUCGCCCUUGCACAAGGAUGACAUGCAAAUACAUGAUGUGUUCCAUAUUUUU